rnacentral:lncRNA from 1 species
CUCCAAUUCGAGUACUUCCAGAGCUUCCUCUCUUUUUAUCUUCAUCGUGUCAAUACUCUUGUGGUGUGCAGCCGAUCAGAGUCGUGGACAAAACUAGUCAAGGAAUGAAUCUGAGUCAAAGCCCCGGUCCUAUGUCAGCGAUCUCCAGCGAAUGAUCCUUCAGCACAUGUAUCUCAAGUCAUCUGCACCUAUUUCGACGAUCACUUACGUCUACAGCAAACGCAUUGCUCGAACAGCCAUGCCUGAUGGAAAGAA